AAUUCUCAACUUCAAAAGCUUUAUUGUUUUUGAAGCUUGGAUGUGGAGGCUUUGCAGGCUCUGUUAAAGAGUCGGCUCCUCUUAAAUGCAUUAGUGGAAACUGUUUGUAGUCCCCACAUUAGUGUGAUAAUUAUCUGCGCUAUUGUGUCUACAAGCUCUACGUAGCGUUCGAUUGGGAAGCUGCGCUUCGGUGCUCUUUCUGUUUCAACUUGACCUACGCUGAGUAUAGUAUCUGCUUCGAACUGUCCUAAGUCGCUGGACAAAUACUUGACUA
rnacentral:misc_RNA from 1 species